GACGAACGCUGGCGGCGUGCCUAAUACAUGCAAGUAGAACGCUGAAGGAGGAGCUUGCUUCUCUGGAUGAGUUGCGAACGGGUGAGUAACGCGUAGGUAACCUGCCUGGUAGUGGGGGAUAACUAUUGGAAACGAUAGCUAAUACCGCAUAAUAGCAGUUGUUGCAUGAUAGCUGUUUGAAAGGUGCAAUUGCACCGCUACCAGAUGGACCUGCGUUGUAUUAGCUAGUUGGUGGGGUAACGGCUCACCAAGGCGACGAUACAUAGCCGACCUGAGAGGGUGAUCGGCCACACUGGGACUGAGACACGGCCCAGACUCCUACGGGAGGCAGCAGUAGGGAAUCUUCGGCAAUGGACGGAAGUCUGACCGAGCAACGCCGCGUGAGUGAAGAAGGUUUUCGGAUCGUAAAGCUCUGUUGUAAGAGAAGAACGAGUGUGAGAGUGGAAAGUUCACACUGUGACGGUAUCUUACCAGAAAGGGACGGCUAACUACGUG
rnacentral:rRNA from 1 species